CCUACGGGAGGCAGCAGUGAGGAAUAUUGGUCAAUGGACGAGAGUCUGAACCAGCCAAGUAGCGUGAAGGAUGACUGCCCUGUGGGUUGUAAACUUCUUUUAUAAAGGAAUAAAACGAGGCACGUGUGCCUUUUUGCAUGUACUUUAUGAAUAAGGAUCGGCUAACUCCGUGCCAGCCGCCGCGGUAAUACGGAGGAUCCGAGCGUUAUCCGGAUUUAUUGGGUUUAAAGGGAGCGUAGAUGGGUUGUUAAGUCAGUUGUGAAAGUUUGCGGCUCAACCGUAAAAUUGCAAUUGAUACUGGCAGUCUUGAGUACAGUUGAGGUAGGCGGAAUUCGUGGUGUAGCGGUGAAAUGCUUAGAUAUCACGAAGAACCCCGAUUGCGAAGGCAGCUUACUAAACUGUGACUGACAUUGAUGCUCGAAAGUGUGGGUAUCAAACAGGAUGAGAUACCCGGGUAGUC
rnacentral:rRNA from 1 species